GGGGCUGCAUUGGUUUCGACGCGGGUUGGAAUCGCCUCAGGGCAUGCCGAGGUUCAGUCACCUCGUAAAACCGCUGAACUCAAACUAACUGCAAACGACGAACGUUUCGCUC
rnacentral:tmRNA from 1 species